UACAGAGGGUGCGAGCGUUAAUCGGAGUUACUGGGCGUAAAGGGCGCGUAGGCGGUUAUAUAAGUGAGAUGUGAAAUCCCUGGCUUAACCUAGGAACUGCAUCUCAUACUGUAUGACUGGAGUAUUGUAGAGGGUAGUGGAAUUUCCGGUGUAGCGGUGAAAUGCGUAGAGAUCGGAAGGAACACCAGUGGCGAAGGCGGCUACCUGGACAAAUACUGACGCUGAGGCGCGAGAGCGUGGGGAGCAACGAGG
rnacentral:rRNA from 1 species